rnacentral:rRNA from 1 species
GAUGAACGCUGGCGGCGUGCCUAAUACAUGCAAGUCGAGCGAACAGACGAGGAGCUUGCUCCUCUGACGUUAGCGGCGGACGGGUGAGUAACACGUGGAUAACCUACCUAUAAGACUGGGAUAACUUCGGGAAACCGGAGCUAAUACCGGAUAAUAUAUUGAACCGCAUGGUUCAAUAGUGAAAGACGGUUUUGCUGUCACUUAUAGAUGGAUCCGCGCCGCAUUAGCUAGUUGGUAAGGUAACGGCUUACCAAGGCAACGAUGCGUAGCCGACCUGAGAGGGGGACCGGCCAAACUGGAACUGAGACCCGGUCCAGACCCCUACGGGAGGCAGCAGUAGGGAAUCUUCCGAAAGGGGCGAAAGCCGGACGGAGCAACGCCGCGUGAGUGAUGAAGGUCUUCGGAUCGUAAAACUCUGUUAUUAGGGAAGAACAAAUGUGUAAGUAACUAUGCACGUCUUGACGGUACCUAAUCAGAAAGCCACGGCUAACUACG